CCUACGGAGGCAGCAGUGGGGAAUAUUGCACAACGGGGGAAACCCUGAUGCAGCGACGCCGCGUGAGUGAAGAAGUAAUUCGUUACGUAAAGCUCUAUCAGCAGGGAAGAAACACUGACCUUACGGUCAGCAGACGGUACCUGAGUAAGAAGCCCCGGCUAACUACGUGCCAGCAGCCGCGGUAAUACGUAGGGGGCAAGCGUUAUCCGGAUUUACUGGGUGUAAAGGGAGCGUAGGCGGCCUGCCAAGUCUGAUGUGAAAUACCGGGGCUCAACCCCGGGGCUGCAUUGGAAACUGGCAGGCGUGAGUGCAGGAGAGGGAGGCGGAAUUCCUAGUGUAGCGGUGAAAUGCGUAGAUAUUAGGAGGAACACCAGUGGCGAAGGCGGCCUGCUGGACGGUGACUGACGCUGAGGCUCGAAAGCGUGGGGAGCAAACAGGAUUAGAUACCCGUGUAGUC
rnacentral:rRNA from 1 species